GACGAACGCUGGCGGCGUGCUUAACACAUGCAAGUCGAACGAAGUGGCGAAUGGGUGAGUAAUACGUGGGUAACCUGCCCUCCUUUUUGGGAUAAGCCUUGGAAACGGGGUCUAAUACCGAAUAAAGGGGUAUGGGCUCGCGGCCUUUCAGCUUGUUGGUGGGGUGAUGGCCUACCAAGGCGGUGAGGGGUAGCCGGCCUGAGAGGGUGACCGGCAAUAGUGGGCCUGAGAUACGGCCAAGAGUCCUACGGGAGGCAGCAGUGGGGGAUAUUGCACAAUGGGCGAAAGCCUGAUGCAGGGACGCCGUGUGGGUGAUGAAGGCUUUCGGGUUUGAAACCUCGGACGCUAACGAACGGGUAGGUGGAGAAGAAGCGCCGGCUAACUACGUGCCAGCAGUCGCGGUAAUUC
rnacentral:rRNA from 1 species